AGGGCACUACACCGGAUGCAGGAGAUGGGAGUUCCGAUCCUCGCUCUCUCAGGAGUGUAGUAGUUUCAUGAUGCUUGGUGUACACUCUACACAGAAUUCUACAUUUGCCAUGCAAGUGGGGAACAAACAUGCAAGCUACUUCAUGUGGAAAACCAGAUACACAGGGUUUUCUUAAGAUUCCUGACACUAAAAAACUUGAAAGUGGAGAGUUUGCCCCUUCUCUGCUUCAUCACCUCUACUGUUGUGCUCUUCAGAGUUUAUUGUCUCAAGAAUAUCUAGUGAAGCCUGAUUCAAAAGUAUCUGUAAAAGAUUUUGGAAAAGAGCCAUUGUGGGGGAGUCUAAUUGAAGCAGCUGACUGAUGAGUGAAACCCUGUCUUUUUACUAAUUGCAUCUUCAACUUUUGUAAUCUUCAUACAUGGAUUUUAUCUCCUAACUUCCAAGAUAAACCAAGGACUGAUCUUUCAUCUGUUCUGCCAGCACAUAUGAUCAUCUGUUACAGCCCUGUGCAUGAUAGCACUCUGGCUGCAGCAGUGUGUAGCUCCGUGUGGGCCACGUGCCAAACACCCAGCCUUGAGGAAGAGCCUGCAGCUUGCCUUGAGCAUUGUUACUUUUGCUACUUCUUUAGCAAUAUCCAAGCUUGCUAGUUUAAAGAUAGCUCAUACAUGCCCACACUAGCUGCAGUGACCACAGUAGAGCAGUAUCUGGUGUUUCUCUAAUUUUUCUCUAUCCCUCCUCUGUGAUCCCCUUUCUCUUUCUAUGCUUAAAAUCGAAUGUUAAGAUUCUUG